GUAGGCAAGAAGGUAGAGGAGGAUUCGGAGCUGUGAGGGUGGCACAAGAGGGUUUUGCUGGGGGAGGAAGGGGUCAGGAGACACAGGAACGCAGGCAACCUCCAGAAGCUACAAAAGACAGGGAGAUGCUCACCCAAACGCCUCUGGAAGAAGCAUCCAGGCAGACACCCUGAUUUCUGGCCAGCGAGACUGAUUUCAGACUUCUGGCCUCCUGAACUCCGACACACUUGCUGGGGAAGGGAGGCCCGCGAUAUCGGGACUGGCUGGGCUGCUAUCGCUUGUGGACACAUCUGCCCGCAGCGCUCACUCCUCCCUCACCGCUGGCACCUGGAGCAGGGAGAUGGCUGCAGCCACGGAAUCUGGAGAGGCACAGCUGUAGUGUGGCACAGCAGAGGGUGACUCCCCACCCCUACAGAUGGCCGGGAUGAUGCCUCUGGGGUGACAAGUGUCCCCACCCUCACCCCAAACACACACAGGGCCCUGCAGCCUAUUUCUUCCCUCCUCCUGUGUCGUAUUCUCCCUGCUCUUUUGUCAACAAUGAGAAGAGAGGCUUGGAGACUGCACACAGUUAUGUGAGUCACUUACAGCCUCGAGCCUUCAGUCAGAGGUCAGGGUUAAACCAGAAAGGGGACAGCUCUGGGGAGGACUGACCACACUUGCUCUGGUCCAGGCAGGGUGUGUGUGGAGCCAGACAACCUCCCUCCCUGCCUACUGUACCUCAGUUUCCCUACCUGAACCAUCUUCCUAAAAACAAUGUGCUGCUCUCAAGGUAGGAAAUUUGGAAAAGCCUAAAUAAUGUAAAAGGAAAAAUUCACCCACAAUUCUCCCACUAACAUCUUGCUGUUUUCGUAUAUCUUUUACAUAACCAAAUCAGGUUGCUUACACAC
rnacentral:lncRNA from 1 species